rnacentral:tRNA from 1 species
CCAGGUGUAGCUCAGGGGCAGAGCAUUUGCCUAGAGUGCAUGAGGUCCUGGGUUUGAUUCCCAGCACUGAGA